AGCCAGCCUGACGAGGGCCGAGUCCCAGGAGUUUGGGAUCUGUCCUUCAGACCACAAAGGCUCAUUGAAAGUUUCUAACCAGGGCAGUCACAUGGAGCCUUCCACGUUUCUGGAAGAGGAAUGUGCAGUGAGGCUGAGGGAUGGGAAACAGGGAAAUCUGAGACAAGGUGGCCCGUGGGAAGCUACUCCAGUAGCAAAGGUCGAGACCUGGAGCUCCUGCCCGACCCUCCCAAGGAACUGUCAUGGAGCUGUGAGCCAUACAGGGGACUCCGGGCAGUCAAGGAAGAGAAGCAACAAGCCCAGGCAGAACCAGGAAAGGAAGAGGAAAUGAGGCAGGAGGCUUGCCAAGGAAGGAAGGAGCCGCCACCCGCACUGGGAGAUUCAUCUGAGAGAUGAAAGGAACAGAAUGCCACAGGACAACCCUAGGGGAGGAGUGCACGACACAAGGGGCUUCGGGGGCACGAGGAUGCGACAUGAACAAGCCCACUUGCCGUCAAAGUCCCAGCGCCCUCUCUCCAGUGACCAGGCCCCCGUGGAGGGCCCAGUCCACCCUCCAGCUUUCACAAACUUUGAAAUAACACAAUGUAAA
rnacentral:lncRNA from 1 species